AAGACCUUACUUCAUAGGAUCAUUUCUAUAGUAAGCUCUUCACGAGAUCUACACACUACGUGUGAUCGUACCGGCCGCGAUGAGGAGUCGUGGCGCGGCGCCCUGAGCGUGAGGCGGGCGGCGGCUCUGGCCGCCAGCCCUCGAUGAUCGUUCACCGCUCUCCCGAGGGGAGCGGCGUGGGGCGCUGUCGCUGUCUGAGUGGC
rnacentral:snoRNA from 1 species